rnacentral:rRNA from 1 species
GAUGAACGCUGGCGGCGUGCCUAAUACAUGCAAGUCGAGCGAACGGACGCGAAGCUUGCUUCUCUGAUGUUAGCGGCGGACGGGUGAGUAACACGUGGAUAACCUACCUAUAAGACUGGGAUAACUUCGGGAAACCGGAGCUAAUACCGGAUAAUAUUUUGAACCGCAUGGUUCAAAAGUGAAAGACGGUCUUGCUGUCACUUAUAGAUGGAUCCGCGCUGCAUUAGCUAGUUGGUAAGGUAACGGCUUACCAAGGCAACGAUGCAUAGCCGACCUGAGAGGGUGAUCGGCCACCCUGGAACUGAGACACGGUCCAGACUCCUACGGUAGGCAGCAGUAGGGAAUCUUCCGCAAUGGGCGAAAGCCUGACGGAGCAACGCCGCGUGAGUGAUGAAGGUCUUCGGAUCGUAAAACUCUGUUAUUAGGGAAGAACAUAUGUGUAAGUAACUGUGCACAUCGUGACGGUACCUAAUCAGAAAGCCACGGCUAACUACGUG